ACUACGGGUGGCAGCAGUGGGGAAUAUUGGGCAAUGGGCGCAAGCCUGACCCAGCAACGCCGCGUGAGUGAAGAAGGAUUUCGGGUUGUAAACUUCUUUUAUCAGGGACGAAGAAAGUGACGGUACCUGAGGAAUAAGCCACGGCUAACUACGUGCCAGCAGCCGUGGUAAUACGUAGGUGGCAAGCGUUAUCCGGAUUAGCUGGGUGUAAAGGCCGUGUAGGCGGGACUGCAAGUCAGAUGUGAAAAGCCGGGGCUCAACCUGUGGCCUGCAUUGGAAACUGUAGUGCUUGAGUACUGGAGAGGCAGGCGGAAUUCCUAGUGUAGCGGUGAAAUGCGUAGAUAUUAGGAGGAACACCAGUGGCGAAGGCGGUUUGCUGGACAGCAACUGACGCUGAGGCGCGAAAGCGUGGGGAGCAAACAGGAUUAGAUACCCUAGUAGUC
rnacentral:rRNA from 1 species